rnacentral:sRNA from 1 species
UCCCUAGUACAUCCGCCCCAGGUAGUAC